UCUGGCUGUGAUGACAAACUUGCCCUCACUGAGAUCAGUCUUGAUUGAGACAUUUUAUUAACUGAGCCACA